CUCAGUUGGUAGAGCGCACCCUUGGUAAGGGUGAGGUCCCCAGUUCGACUCUGGGUAUCAGCACCA
rnacentral:tRNA from 5 species